rnacentral:antisense_RNA from 1 species
CUUGACCGAACCGAGCCACAGCGGCUGAUCGCCGUCGCGGUCCUGACCGUACGUCGACAGCAGUGCGUGGGCCUC